UUUUUUUUUUUCUUUGAAUACUAUGUCAUUUAUAAAGUUAAACUGCUAAAUAGAAAAAAAUUAACUUUUUAAAACUAAAUUAUUCUAAAAAUCGCAAGUCUUUAAACUUUGAAUUUGGAAGCGUCAAAAAAUGCCUCGUAGGCAUGGAAAAUCGCGGAAAUCUCCAAAUUCAACAGGCGAAGAAAAUCCUAUGAACGCAAUGAAUAUGCAAAUGCGUUCGAUGAAUCGUUUAAUGAAUUCAAUGAUGGCGCCAAAUCCAUUCAAUAUGUUGGCACCCAUUAAUCUUGGCUUUGAGGAUAAUGCGCUAAUGGAACGUCAUAAUCAACCAAAUCAAAUGGGCUUGUUUGGCUUCCCAGCUAUGCCAAAUAUAAAUCGUCUUUUAAAUGCUGAUUUGAAUGGUGGAGGCGCUGGUGCUUCAUAUUGUUCAAGCUCUGUUGUUACGAUGUCAUCGGGCCCUGACGGUCGUCCACAAGUUUAUCAAGCUACAACUAGCACAAAAACUGGUCCAGGCGGUGUACGUGAAACUCGCAAAACAAUACAAGAUUCAACAAAAGGUAUUAAAAAAAUGGCUAUAGGCCAUCAUAUUGGCGAACGUUCACAUAUUAUUGAAAAAGAACAAGAUUUAAAUUCUGGUCAAUUGGAAGAACGUCAAGAAUUUAUUAAUUUGGAAGAGGAAGAAGCUGAAGAUUUUGAUCGUGAAUUCACAUCACGUGCACAACGUGGCAUGGUGACUGGAGGUGCAGUGCAUCGCCCACGCCAAGCAAUAACCAUUGAAUCCGUCGACGAUGAUGAUGAUUAUGAAGAACAAAGAAACCGUCAUCGUCGACAGAUGCCAGCUUUGCCCGCACCACCAUCACACAACAGCUCUUCUUCCGCAACUACUACGAAGCCAGCUGCAUCGCGUGCAAAUGCUACUGAAUCUGCUACUAACGGCGUUAAUAACUACAACACGCUCAACAACAAUAAAAACAACUAUUUGGGCACUCCAAGUAGACGCGCUUAUCGCAGUCAUCAUUUAACCGGCGCAACAACUCGCAGACCUCUACGUACUCCUUUGUCAUCGCCGCUCGCUACAACUGCAGCUACUCACAGUCUAACUACAACGACAUCGCCAAGAGAUUGGCGUUUAUAUAAUCCACGUUUUUAUCGCAAGUAAAUAAUCAACUCAUCACCAAACAAUAUAUAUUGAAUACGAACAUAUAUUGUUUUGUAUAGAAUGCAUCAUAACAUUAUUAACCUACUCAUACGAUAUACGACUUAUGCUAUAUGAUUUAUAACAACACGACAACUACGAAAGACCCCAAAGCAACAACUUCAUAGUCAAGAAGCCACACACUGUACGUCUCUAGCAACCAACAACUAAUAAUCAAACUAAAUUAAGUUCAUUAAACCUGUCUCAACGAAUGCAGUUUACCACACACAUAGUGAUCAAGUGAAUAAUACAUCAUCGUAAUAGUGAUCCAGUAUCGUAAUAACGAAAUUUUGAUGAUUAUAUGUUAUUUAUAAACCGAGAGCUGCGUAACGUAACACUUUGAGAUGCCAUAUGAUUUGACUAUUUAAUUGAGAUUUCUACAAAGUUUGCUGUGCGCUGCCUGCAACACACACGUUUUGUUCAUCCCGUUCCAAGCUGCAUCCAUAUGCUCUCUUUGCUGCGGUGGUAUGGUGGUACUACGUCAUUCAUCCUCAUCCCUAUAAUACAGCAGCAGCUCGUAGGAACUACCGUGCAAAACACACGAAG